rnacentral:antisense_RNA from 1 species
CAGUGGCGACGGGCAGCAGCACUUCGUGAUCCUGAUUUCUUCCACCCCAGGCAAGAAGUGCCCACCAUGGGUACCACCACCACCCCACCCCCCCCUCCCCGAGGACUAAAUGAGCAGCAGGGAGUGACAAACAGUCAGGUGCACCUAAGUUCCAGCCAAGCUCUACCAUCGACCCUCUAUGACUUGGGGAGAGCUGAAGCCCAUGAGAAGAACCUAACAAGCUCAUGGUCUGGCCCUCAUGGACACCCCGGGGACUGCCAGGUGAAGUGGAGUCAAAGCCUGCUCUCAACCCUGGGCAUGGGUGGAGACAUGAGUCAGCAUGAGUGGCCUGAGGGGGAGGGUCAGCAGCCCUGUCCGAGGCAAUGGGAAAAGCACUGAACUUUAAGGCAAAUGGCCCAGGUUGAGUCCUGGCUCCUCCCUCUGCCUUCACUAGUUUUGUAAUAUUGAACAAGUCAAUACAUGAAUUUCAUAAUCUAU